GCACGCCGGAGACCGCAGUGGAACGCAUAGACAACGAAUGCGUCCACUGCGGCUAAAAAACAACAUUUAAUAAAAAUUAAGAUUCUUGGGCACUUGUUAAUAAAGAGACCUAGUCACAGAUUCUAAUGAAUCAAUGAAAAACAAAGCAGAAAGAGGCAAUUAGGCACUAACAAGCUUCACACAUACAGGAAGUGAAUAUAUCAGGCUGAGAGUACUUAAACCCCCCUGCCCAGCAUGAUGUUACACUGCUGUUCAGGAGAGGCUGCUACUAUUCAAAGCUGAACAUUGUAAAGGUGGUUAUAGCUAAUAAAGACCACAACAGCAUAAUCCUACAGUUUGCACUCCUAUGAGGGCUGGACCCGUGGUGAAUAUUGAUACAUUCAGCGUGAUCAUUUGAUUUUAAAUCCUUUUUUGAAAUUGAUUGUGGGACUAAUUAUACCGUAAAAAUCGGUUUUUUGGCCCCUACUUUGAUUGACAUGAACCCCUGAUGAAGUCCUUGGGACGAAACGCGUCGGGUAGUGUUUCUUGUGAAAACAUCAGACAUCCUGUAUAAUACACCAUUUGAUGGGAUACAUUGUCUGUUAUCAUGUCUGCAAUAACAUUGUAAACUGUAUUUUUAUUAUAUUUACCAUUGGAUUUUCAU